ACCAAAGAGGGGGACCUUCGGGCCUCUUGCCAUCGGAUGUGCCCAGAUGGGAUUAGCUAGUAGGUGGGGUAACGGCUCACCUAGGCGACGAUCCCUAGCUGGUCUGAGAGGAUGACCAGCCACACUGGAACUGAGACACGGUCCAGACUCCUACGGGAGGCAGCAGUGGGGAAUAUUGCACAAUGGGCGCAAGCCUGAUGCAGCCAUGCCGCGUGUAUGAAGAAGGCCUUCGGGUUGUAAAGUACUUUCAGCGGGGAGGAAGGGAGUAAAGUUAAUACCUUUGCUCAUUGACGUUACCCGCAGAAGAAGCACCGGCUAACUCCGUGCCAGCAGCCGCGGUAAUACGGAGGGUGCAAGCGUAAUCGGAAU
rnacentral:rRNA from 1 species